rnacentral:rRNA from 1 species
UCUGGGGUCCUAUGCGUAGAGGAACCACAUCAAUCCAUCCCGAACUUGGUGGUUAAACUCUACUGCGGUGAUGAUACUGUAGGGGAGGUCAUGCGGAAAAAUAACUCGGCGCCAGGAUG